rnacentral:rRNA from 1 species
GAUGAACGCUGGCGGCGUGCCUAAUACAUGCAAGUCGAGCGAACAGACGAGGAGCUUGCUCCUCUGACGUUAGCGGCGGACGGGUGAGUAACACGUGGAUAACCUACCUAUAAGACUGGGAUAACUUCGGGAAACCGGAGCUAAUACCGGAUAACAUGUUGAACCGCAUGGUUCAACAGUGAAAGACGGUUUUGCUGUCACUUAUAGAUGGAUCCGCGCCGCAUUAGCUAGUUGGUAAGGUAACGGCUUACCAAGGCAACGAUGCGUAGCCGACCUGAGAGGGUGAUCGGCCACACUGGAACUGAGACACGGUCCAGACUCCUACGGGAGGCAGCAGUAGGGAAUCUUCCGCAAUGGGCGAAAGCCUGACGGAGCAACGCCGUGUGAGUGAAGAAGGUCUUCGGAUCGUAAAACUCUGUUAUUAGGGAAGAACAAAUGUGUAAGUAACUAUGCACGUCUUGACGGUACCUAAUCAGAAAGCCACGGCUAACUACGUG